rnacentral:rRNA from 1 species
CACGGACCAAGGAGUCUAACAUGUACGCGAGUCAUUGGGACUAGCGAGACCUAAAGGCGCAAUGAAAGUGAAGGUCGGCCCUGGUUGUCGACCGAGGGAGGAUGGGCCGCGUCGCGAUGCGGCUCCGCACUCCCGGGGCGUCUCGUUCUCAUCGCGAGAAGAGGCGCACCCAGAGCGUACACGUUGGGACCCGAAAGAUGGUGAACUAUGCCUGGUCAGGACGAAGUCAGGGGAAACCCUGAUGGAGGUCCGUAGCGAUUCUGACGUGCAAAUCGAUCGUCGGAACUGGGUAUAGGGGCGAAAGACUAAUCGAACCAUCUAGUAGCUGGUUCCCUCCGAAGUUUCCCUCAGGAUAGCUGGCACUCGGCCGUUCCGCCAGGAACGCGCGCGAGUCUCAUCUGGUAAAGCGAAUGAUUAGAGGCCUUGGGGCCGAAACGACCUCAACCUAUUCUCAAACUUUAAAUGGGUGAGAUCUCUGGCUUUCUUGAAUUAUGAAGCCACGAGCAUCUCGGAUCAGAGUGCCAAGUGGGCCAUUUUUGGUAAGCAGA